rnacentral:rRNA from 1 species
GAAUAACAGUGAGAAAUCAUUGCUAAUACCGCAUACGCCAUAGGAAUCGCAUGGUUCUAGUGGGAAAGGAGUAAUCCGCUGAUAGAUGAGCUUGCGUCUGAUUAGCUAGUUGGUGGGGUAAAGGCCUACCAAGGCGACGAUCAGUAGCCGGACUGAGAGGUUGAACGGCCACAUUGGGACUGAGAUACGGCCCAGACUCCUACGGGAGGCAGCAGUCGGGAAUAUUGCGCAAUGGAGGAAACUCUGACGCAGUGACGCCGCGUAUAGGAAGAAGGUUUUCGGAUUGUAAACUAUUGUCCAUAGGGAAGAUAAAAGACUGUACCUAUGAAGAAAGCUCCGGCUAACUACGUGCCAGCAGCCGCGGUAAUACGUAGGGAGCAAGCGUUAUCCGGAAUUAUUGGGUGUAAAGGGUGCGUAGACGGGAUAACAAGUUGGUUGUGAAACCCCUCGGCUCAACUGAGGAACUGCAACCAAAACUAUUAUUCUUGAGUGCAGGAGAGGAAAGUGGAAUUCCUAGUGUAGCGGUGAAAUGCGUAGAUAUUAGGAAGAACACCGGUGGCGAAGGCGACUUUCUGGACUGUAACUGACGUUGAGGCACGAAAGUGUGGGGAGCAAACAGGAUUAGAUACCCUGGUAGUCCACACUGUAAACGAUGGAUACUAGGUGUAGGGGGUAUUAAGCCUUCUGU